GAUGAACGCUGGCGGCGUGCCUAAUACAUGCAAGUCGAGCGAAAGGACGCGAAGCUUGCUUCUCUGAUGUUAGCGGAGGACGGGAGAGUAACACGUGGAUAGUCUCCCUAUCAGACUGGGAUAACUUCGGGAAACCGGAGAAUAUACCGGAUAAUAUUUUGAACCGCAUGGUUCAAAGGUGAAAGACGGUCUUGCGGGCACGUAUAGAUGGAUCCCCGCUGGAUUGGCUAGUUGGUAAGGUAACGGCUUACCAAGGGAAGGAGGCAUGUCCGACGUGAGAGGGGGAUAGGCCACAUGGGAACUGGGACACGGUCCAUGCGCCUACGAGACGCAGCAGUAUGGAACCUGCCGCAGUGGGCGAAAGCCUUACGGAGCGGCGCCGCGUGAGUUAUGAAGGUCCUCCGAUCGGAAAACCCGGUUUUGAGUGAAGAACAUAUGUGGAAUGAACUGUGCACAUCUUGACGGUACCUAAUCAGAAAGCCCCGGCUAACUACGUG
rnacentral:rRNA from 1 species